GGUAAGAUGGCUGAGCCUUAAGCGGUGGAUUGUAGCCCCAUAGACAGAGGUUAGAAUCCUCUUCUUACCA
rnacentral:tRNA from 1 species